CCAAUGGAGGCGUUUUCCACAAUUGUUGGUACCAUGCCAUGUCUCCCUACUGUCAGUGGUGAUGGCUGUUGACGAAACCUUCAAGAUCGCAAAAAACCUGCAGUACAAGUUGGAUGGAAAAGUUCAGUUCAAAAUCCCAACUGGAGAAGACAUGAGAGAAAUCCUUACAACUGGUGAUGCAUUUCUCAAAGGAUUCAAUGACCUGGUUGUCUUCAUCUCUGAAAAUGUGCAGAAGAUUGAACAGCUGGCAACCUUUCCAGUGAAACAGGCAGACAUCGACCUUCUUACAACUCAGCUGAAAGAUGCCAAGGACUUACCUUUGUGGUAAAGAGAUGAGAUACUUGAAUUUGUGCUUCAGAAAGGUUGGUUUUCUCCAUAUGAUUAUAAGUCUAGCAAUGACUGCAGUAGUUGAUCUCUGGUUUCUAAUUGGUAAAAAAAUGUAGUGUCAAUCUUUAAGGUCAGGAAAGUUUUCAAUGUUGCAGACCUGUG
ensembl:lncRNA